rnacentral:rRNA from 1 species
AGGGCAGACGGUGGAUGCCUUGGCUCUCGGAGGCGAAGAAGGACGUGAUAAGCUGCGAUAAGCUACGGGGAUUGGCACAUACAAAUUGAUCCGUAGAUUUCCGAAUGGGGCAACCCGGCAUAUUGAAGAUAUGUCACACUGCAGAGCAGUGAGCGAACGUGGGGAACUGAAACAUCUAAGUACCCAUAGGAGAAGAAAACAAAAGUGAUUCCCUUAGUAGUGGCGAGCGAACGGGGAACAGCCCAAACCAGAUUUGUUUCGGCAAAACUGGGGUUGUAGGACCUCGACAUAGGAAGACAAGAUUAGGAGAACGGUCUGGAAAGGCCGGCCAUAGAACAUGACAGCUGUGUAUCCGAAAAUCUUCGUUGGACUUAGAGGUAUCCUGAGUAGCGCGGGACACGUGAAAUCCUGUGUGAAUCUGCGGGGCCCAUCCCGUAAGGCUAAAUACUCCCGAGAGACCGAUAGUGAACCAGUACCGUGAGGGAAAGGUGAAAAGAACCUCGAACAGAGGAGUGCAAUAGAUCCUGAACCCGUCUGCCUACAAGCGGUAGGAGCAGCUUUUAGCUGUGACUGCGUGCCUUUUGCAUAAUGAACCUACGAGUUACUUUCUCUGGCAAGGUUAAGUGAUGAAGAGUCACGUGAGCCGAAGCGAAAGCGAGUCUGAAUAGGGCGAAUUAGUCAGAGGGAGUAGACGCGAAACCAAGUGAUCUACCCUUGGUCAGGUUGAAGGUUGGGUAAAACCAACUGGAGGACCGCACCGGUAAGCGUUGAAAAGCUUUCGGAUGAACUGAGGGUAGGGGUGAAAGGCUAAUCAAACUUGGAGAUAGCUCGUACUCCCCGAAAUGCAUUUAGGUGCAGCCUGUGGAGUUUCUUACGUGAGGUAGAGCGACUGAUUGGAUGCGAGGCUUUCACCGGCUAUCAAGUCCAGACAAACUCCGAAUGCACGUUAAGUAAGAUCCACGGAGUGAGGGCAUGGGUGCUAAGGUCCAUGUCCGAGAGGAGAAGAAUCCAGACCAUCGGCUAAGGUCCCGAAAUAAUAGCUAAGUUGACCAAACGAAGUCAGAGUGCGAAGACAGCUAGGAUGUUGGCUUGGAAGCAGCCAUUCAUUUAAAGAGUGCGUAACAGCUCACUAGUCGAGUGCUUUGGCGUGGAUAAUAAUCGGGCAUAAGCUAUUUACCGAAGCUGUGGGAUGUGUAAACAUCGGUAGGGGAGCAUUCUAGCGACGCUGAAGGUGAGAGGACAACUCUUGCUGGAGUUUCUAGAAAAGCAAAUGUAGGUAUAAGUAACGAUAAAGGAGGUGAGAAACCUCCUCGCCGAAAGACUAAGGGUUCCUGAUCAACGCUAAUCGGAUCAGGGUUAGUCGGGGCCUAAGGGGAAGCCGAACGGCGCACCCGAUGGAAGAACCGGUUAAUAUUCCGGUACUAAUUAUGUGAGCGAUGUGGAGACGGAGAUGUGACGGUCCUGCCAACUGACGGAAUAGUUGGUUGAAGGGUGUAGGAGUUGAUCUGAGUAGGCAAAUCCGCUCGGAGAUCCGAACCUGACAGUACUCUGAGUGCUUGCACAAGGAGAUAUGGACAACUGUAACGGUGCUCCCAAGAAAAUCCGCUAAGCAUAUUGCAUGAUUACCCGUACCAUAAACCGACACAGGUGGUUGGGUUGAGUAUACUAAGGCGCUCGAGUGAUUCGCGGUUAAGGAACUAGGCAAAAUAGUCCUGUAACUUCGGAAUAAAGGACGCUCACAGUGAAGGCUGUGAGCCGCAGAGAAUAGGCCCAGGCGACUGUUUAACAAAAACACAUGGCUAUGCUAAAUCGAAAGAUACUGUAUAUAGCCUGACACCUGCCCGGUGCUGGAAGGUUAAGAGGAGAUGUCAUCGCAAGAGAAGCAUUGAAUUGAAGCCCCAGUAAACGGCGGCCGUAACUAUAACGGUCCUAAGGUAGCGAAAUUCCUUGUCGGGUAAGUUCCGACCUGCACGAAUGGUGUAACGAUCUGGGUACUGUCUCAACCGCGAGCUCGGUGAAAUUGUAGUAUCGGUGAAGAUGCCGAUUACCCGCAACGGGACGAAAAGACCCCGUGAACCUUUACUAUAGCUUUGCAUUGGAUUUGGGUAACAAAUGUGUAGGAUAGGCCGGAGACUAAGAAGCGGGUACGCCAGUAUUCGUGGAGUCGCCGUUGAAAUACGGCCCUUUUGUUAUUUGGGUUCUAACUCGCGGAUGCGAGGACAUUGCAUGGUGGGUAGUUUGACUGGGGU